AUAGACACAACCUAUCACCAUGCAGGGGCUGUUCAACUUAGCAGAAGACAACAGAAAGCUGUCCACUGAAUUGUGCAGAACUGCUAAUGGGACCUGUGAUGCUUUUCACGGUCAAACAGGUAUAUUUACAAAACAAGCAGAAUGACUGGAGAAUUCUGCUUGGCUGACUGGAAUAUGAAGUGGUGUAUAACUUAGAAAGGAAGGCAGUAGUCUUGUUUUCUAAGCCCCAUAGAAACAUAAGGAUCCAUCAACAAGGCAAAUGCAGGACACAUGCCAGGAUCACUGCAAAACUUAAUCAGGCAUGGUGGCUCCUACAUCCUUCAGACACCACAAAGGAACAGUGCACAGAAGAUGGGAGAAGGUGGCAAGAUCAGCUCUCCAUACUGAUACAGUACUGCAUUUAUAUCAAGGAGACUAUAUCCUUCUUCACAAGCUGACGACCUGAGGACCUCCCACUCACGAGCCCUAUGGAAACAUCUUGGGCAACAGAGGUGGACGGAGCUGGGGAGAGUCAAGGGAUGAACACUUCUCUCCAAGGCCCCAUCAGGCAUUGUCUGGAACAGUGAUGAAGCCUCAGACUUGAUUUUAUCACUCUUGGAAGGAGCUGGUAACUGCACAUCCCAUUUUCUUAACAGCAUGGAUCCAGCAGCAAUGGAAGGGGGAGAAAGUGCCACAGUCUCUUUUCUGGCUUUGCAGAGAUACCUCCUCUCUCUGGACAACCCCCAAUUCUGGAAGCAAGCAGGGUUGAUGGACUGUUUCCUGGAGCAAGUAUCUAUGAGCUCAGCCACAGCUUUGGUGGGCACAUGUUGCUUCCUUGGUCAUAAUUACUGGAAAAAUACCAGUCCUUUGCUUUUGCACAUAUAGACCAAACUCUGCACAGCACUCCUGCACCAGCAGACUGUGACUAAAACAUGGGGCUUAUGCCUAAUUCCUGGUGAUUUUGAAUCAUGCUGAUGCUCAAGUUUCACGUCUUAUGCAUUCCAAUGGGGAGCUUUGAGAGAGUAUGUGUGUAGUGCAGCCAGCACCACUGAGCUCUAAGCUUUUGGGGCCUCCACAUAUUACUGUCAUCUGGGGAAAACAACAGCAUGGGUUUUUUGUAGCCAAAUUCUGAAUACAACACAUCUUCUUUUACCUACUGUAAUAAUAUACUUGUGCAUAACGUAAUAUAUAUGUUAUAGAAUCAGUACAACUAAGUAUAUAACAUAAUUCAAAAUAUAGCUAUCUCUAUAGAUCUCUAUGUGAGAUGCCUAUCUAUUUCAGUAUGUUUUCUUGGUACAAAUUAUGACAGAAACACAGUAAGUCAGUAAUUUCAGAUUCCUUUGCAUAGACAUUGUCACUGUAAUUUUGCCAGGAGGGAGAUAAUAAAUCAUACUUUUCCAUCUGACUGAUGUUCUGUUUCCCCUGUCUGAUUUCAAUGGCUGUAUGCUAUCUUCAGCACUGGCAUUGUUCAUGGCUCCUUUUAUUAAAGCACAAGCACGUUAUUGAAAAU